rnacentral:miRNA from 1 species
GCCGUUGAUGUCUGCAAGUCUC